rnacentral:rRNA from 1 species
UACGGGGGGAGCAAGCGUUGUUCGGAUUUACUGGGCGUAAAGGGCGCGUAGGCGGCCAGCACAAGUCAGUUGUGAAAUCUCCGAGCUUAACUCGGGAAAGGUCAACUGAUACUGUGCGGCUAGAGUGCAGAAGGGGCAACUGGAAUUCUCGGUGUAGCGGUGAAAUGCGUAGAUAUCGAGAGGAACACCUGCGGCGAAGGCGGGUUGCUGGGCUGAUACUGACGCUGAGGCGCGAAAGCCAGGGGAGCGAACGGG